ACUGGGUUUGAUUUGAGGGGAGAAAAAAAACACAGGUUCCCCAAAGACAAUCAAGUCUGUCUCUAAUAUUCUGCCCUUCUCGUCUCCCACUCCCAGGAUCCAGUCACAGACAAUGACUCUGGCCCUGACACUCCAGUCUCUGCCCUGAACCACAUCUCGGCUGCAGGUUAGCAGGAGGCCUGGCUCAAAACAACGUUAUGAGAUAGCACAGUUCUAAGAGUGAUUCCUUGGUCAACUGGUGUAGAAUUAUGUCCCAACAGAAUGGGUCAGCUGCAUGGUGUCCUCAUACCAACAAUGGUUUUCAACACGGUGUCCUCUCUCCUGUCUGGGAACAGCUGGUGUCACCUCUGUCCGAACUGCCUUCCAGGGCAGACACCCAAGCUUCAAGGACUCACGGUCAGUGUCAGACCAUCUUUCGGGCACCUGUGGUGGGACACACAGAUUUCCUCGGAUCCCAGCUCUCCUGACUUUGAAGGGUCUGCCCACCAUGGGCACAUGAAGCUUGUCUCCUCACGGUGACAUCCAAUGGCAGGUUGAUGCUUCUUGAUUUCAGGAGUGCGCUGGGAUGACGUCUUCAAGGGGGACUGUAUCCGCUUCUUAGACGGAGCAGCCAGAGAAAACUGAAACCCACGAAUGUGAAUUGUCCAGAGUCCUGCAGUUAGCGAACGGCGACACUCAGAGCGGACGUCUCCUGGUUCUCGUUCUGGUGUCCUUUCUGGUAUACCAGAAAGCUGUCCACUGUGAUGGCAAAUUAUCUCCAUCCUAUGGAGCAACUGACCCUUGGGCAAGAGAAGUCACUUUCUUCAUUCAAAAAAAAUUUCUUGGCAGGGUUGGGGGGCGGUGAAUAGCUCAAACGGUAGAGCACAUGCUUAGCAUGCACAAGGUCCUGGGUUCAAUCCCCAGUACCUCCAUUUAAAAGAAAACUAAUAAAUAAAUAAACAGACCUAAUGAUCUCCCCCUCCCCCCCCCCCGUUUCUUUAUCCAUCCCAGGGCUUCUCAUCAGUCCCAGUGCUCAGAGAAAGACAGCUCUGUUGGCAAACUUGUGAGUCAUGUUAGCCUCACAGUACGAUUAGUGCCCUUAGAAGAGGCCGGAGAGCUAGCUAGCUCUUUCUACCGUGGGAAGAUACAGCAAGUCAGCUGUCUGCAACCCAGAAGAGUCUUCACCAGAACUCGGCCAUGCUGGCAGCACGACCUCAGACUUCCUGUCUCCAGAGCUGUGGAAACGGGAUGUCUGUUGCUGAUAAGCCAGCCGCUUCCUGGUGUCUUGUUUGAGCAGCCCAAGCUGACUCAAGUUGUGUCUCCUUCGCUUCAGAGGUUGGCAAUCUUUUGUGGAAUCUGGGAAGGGGAGGAAAAUAAGUAUCAAUGCAAUCCAGCGCUAACUUAAAGCAGUUAAAUGAGAAAAUGCAAUGAUCCCAUCAGAUAUUUGGUAAAGGGAGAGAGUGCAGUGCAGCAGCAAAGACGUGACGAGGAAGAUGGGACUUCAGCUGGACCUUGAACGAUUAACAAAUGAGUUGGAGAGAGGGUGCGUGAUUCAGGCGACCAGGAAAAGCACGCGGGAAGGCACAAAAACACGAAGGCAGAGGAUCUGAGUCUAACCUAAGGUGGAGGGUAAAGUUUCAGCAGUGAUAGAAAUCUGCUUGUUUUCACUGCCUUUGCUAAUUUCUGAGAUGCAACGAAAGUCAGGCUGGGAUUGUGUUCUAAACCUACCUGCAUUUAUGAUUGCACAAAAUUAUUAGUUUUCAACAGUCAGUCGAGAAGGAUUCUAUUCAAGACCCUCCCAGUCAACAGAUGUAUUUGCAGGCGCUACCUUCACCUUCUAUACCUGAGGACACUGGAAAGCUGUCUUAGCAUUCUACAUGGAAAGCAGUGGCUGUCAAACUUCAUCAGGCAUCAAAACCGCCGUGGGAGCUUGUUAAAAGACAGAUGCCUGGGCCACUCCUUGAGAGUUUCCGAUUCUGUAGGGCUUGGCUGGGCCUGAGAAUGCGCAUUUCUAACAAGUUCUUGCGAUGCCAAUGCUGCUGCUCGGAGACCACACUUUGAGAACCACUAAAAGCUGCAGUGAACCCUUCUAUUCCCGCUUGUCAAACUUGGUAGUGAGUGAUGCCAGCCACAGGCAUGGGGAAACUUCGUA